GACGAACGCUGGCGGCGUGCUUAACACAUGCAAGUCGAACGGAAAGGCCCUGCUUUUGUGGGGUGCUCGAGUGGCGAACGGGUGAGUAACACGUGAGUAACCUGCCCUUGACUUUGGGAUAACUUCAGGAAACUGGGGCUAAUACCGGAUAGGAGCUCCUGCUGCAUGGUGGGGGUUGGAAAGUUUCGGCGGUUGGGGAUGGACUCGCGGCUUAUCAGCUUGUUGGUGGGGUAGUGGCUUACCAAGGCUUUGACGGGUAGCCGGCCUGAGAGGGUGACCGGCCACAUUGGGACUGAGAGACGGCCCAGACUCCUACGGGAGGCAGCAGUGGGGAAUAUUGCACAAUGGGCGGAAGCCUGAUGCGGCAACGCCGCGUGCGGGAUGACGGCCUUCGGGUUGUAAACCGCUUUCGCCUGUUACGAAGCGUGAGUGACGGUAAUGGGUAAAGAAGCACCGGCUAACUACGUG
rnacentral:rRNA from 1 species